UGUAAAUGAAAGGUCGAUACUUGAUUAAGACGUAUCGAUAAUCAAUCAGGGGACUAAAUAUCGCGAUAUAUCGCCAUAUCGAUAUUUUGGCACACCCCUACUGAAGAGUAUGAAAAAGCUUGGAUGAAAUAUGGAAACAUUUCUAGCAGCAAACAUGAAAAACAAAUGUUUUUGAGACCAGAUGAAGGUUAAACGAAACCAAGGAGCACAAAUGAAGGAAACUUGAAGAUAGAAACCCUGAGCAUUUUCCUGAGAUUGUGUCAAACAUCAAACUCCUGAGUUUGGACGUUUAGAAAGGAGCUGCUAAAGGGGAGGAACCUCCAAACUGAUGCUCUUCAGCUGAUCUUCCUCUGCAGAAGAGGAAACUUUUAAAGGUGAAGAACUUGGCGGCGUCUCGGAGCGGAUCUGCUGCUUCCACAGACCAGGACAAUGACGAGUGUUGGGAUCUAAAAAUGGCCCUGCUUUAAAUCCACACGUAUUCCUCGGUGAAGGAGGAGGAGAAAAAAACACAAAGAUGUAAUUACAUGGAAGUCUCUGCGCCUAAUGCCGGAUUGAUUCGUAACUGCAGGACAUCCUUGAGCCAGAUCUUUAAAAAUGAAGGAGGGAGGGGAGCGGCGGCGCCUUGAGAGACUUUAAAAAUGCAGGAAUAAUUACACAUAUACUAAACUAAUUAAGCAGCGCUGAACUCUGCGGCCUCAUUCUUCCCUCGCACUGAUCACGCCGCUCGUUUUUCACCGCAGUCUUCCGCCGUAAACGGACGGACGGCGUCCAGCGGACGCCAGACCUCAGGAAAAACGAGCAAAUUAAACAGGAAGAGAGUCUGGUUACUAUUUCAAAGUCGUCAUUUUAAUUGUGUUGGAGGGAGGAGGACUGUCUGAAAGAAACAUGGGCUUCUUUAUAAUUCAAUGGCUGUAAUUCAUAUCUGCAGAGCCAGGACCGGAGCGGCCCGGUCGACCCGAGACACGCCAGAAAUAGUUCCAACGUGUCCAUCCUCGCAGCAGAGAGGGUUCUGAGGAAAUGUUUGGACCAAGUUCUUCCUGCAGGUUCUGAGGAAACGUUUGGACCAAGUUCUUCCUGCAGGUUCUAAAGGAAAUGUUUGGA
rnacentral:lncRNA from 1 species